GGCAUUAAGCGUAUUAUUUAAUGUUUGGCCUGCCCUAUGAUAAAAUUAAAUGGCCGCAGUAUUUUGACUGUGUAAAGGUAGCAUAAUCAAUUGUCUAUUAAUUGUAGACUUGAAUGAAAGGUUGGACUUAGCUUUUCUUUUUUGACUACUAAUAGUGAAUUUAUAUGUUUUGUAAAAAUACUAAGGGGGGUUUAAUAGACGAGAAGACCCUGUUGAGCUUUAUAUUUAAAUUUAUUUUAGGGACUAAUAGAAGAUAUAAUAAAUUAUUGUAUUUUACUGGGGCGGUAAUAUUAUGAUAAACGUGAUUUAUAUGGUCCAUUAAAUGUGACUAAAGGACUAAGUUACUGCAGGGAUAACAGCUUAAUUUUAUCUAAUAGGUCUUAUUGAUGAUAAUGUUUGUGACCUCGAUGUUGGUUUAGGGUGUCUAUACAGAAGUACAAAAUUUGUAAGAUGGUUUGUUCAACCAUUGAAACCUUAUG
rnacentral:rRNA from 1 species